UUGAACGCUGGCGGCAUGCCUUACACAUGCAAGUCGAACGGUAACAGGUCUUCGGAUGCUGACGAGUGGCGAACGGGUGAGUAAUACAUCGGAACGUGCCCAGACGUGGGGGAUAACGAGGCGAAAGCUUUGCUAAUACCGCAUACGAUCUAAGGAUGAAAGCAGGGGACCGCAAGGCCUUGCGCGUUUGGAGCGGCCGAUGGCAGAUUAGGUAGUUGGUGGGAUAAAAGCUUACCAAGCCGACGAUCUGUAGCUGGUCUGAGAGGACGACCAGCCACACUGGGACUGAGACACGGCCCAGACUCCUACGGGAGGCAGCAGUGGGGAAUUUUGGACAAUGGGCGAAAGCCUGAUCCAGUAAUGCCGCGUGCAGGAUGAAGGCCUUCGGGUUGUAAACUGCUUUUGUACGGAACGAAAAGGCUCUGGCUAAUACCUGGGGCACAUGACGGUACCGUAAGAAUAAGCACCGGCUAACUACGUG
rnacentral:rRNA from 1 species